rnacentral:misc_RNA from 1 species
ACUAGGCGGAGGUGGUGGAGUUGGAGGUGGUGCAGGUGGUGGUGGAGGUCUUGGAGGCGGUGCAGGUGGUGGCAUUGGAGGAGGAGGAGGUUUUGGCGGUGGUGCUGGUGGAGGAAUCGGUGGCCACCAUUAAUUCCCAAAUUAAUUUGCUAGUUUCGUAACCUUACUAGUUACGGGGUGGCAAAAAUAUAUGCUAAUGCUAUGAAAUGAAGAGCAUAGCAACUAGAAUAAAUAAAAAGCAAUACUGCAUUUUUAAUUUUACAAUUCCACACAAAAAUAUCAAUUAAGAUUGAAAUUUUAGUAUGGGAAAAUAUAACAAGAUUAAUUCAGUUGCUAAUUAAGACGUACAAUGCAUGAAGAAUAUAUAAGCCAAAACUGGCAGCCACUAAUUGCCCUUUCAUUUAUGCAAUCCAUGAAUAUGAAGCAUUCAGUUCACAUCAGUUGAACUCUGUUUGGCAGAGUCCAUUUUUACUCAGCAUUCUUUGAGCAG